UUCCUCGCAGUCAUGAAGCUGAUCCCAGCUUUAAACAAAUUCCCCCUUUUCCUCAGCAAGAGCGGCGGCGGCAGAGGCAGCAGCGGCGGCGGUCGGAGCGAGCCUCUUCGGCGGCGAAAAGCAUUCCUUCCUCUCCCAGGAACAUGCUACCUGGACACUCUUCCACCAAUGCCUUUCGCACCCUGAAAUGCCCUGAGUUACAUUGGACUGAAGGAAAGGAAAUCUUAUCACUAUCCAACAGAAGCAAAGGAAAUAUAAAGGAUAGGAUCAGAACAUUUUGGAAGGAGAUUCAUGGCAUAGGAUUCUGACUAAAUGUUAGGAAGAACUUCAUUAUGGGAUCACAGGGUUGUUGUAUGUCUUUCGGGCUGUGUGGCCAUGUUCCAGAAGCAUUCUCUCCUGACGUUUCGCCCACAUCUAUGGCAGGCAUCCUCAGAGGUUGUGAGGUAUGGAGAAAACUAAGCAAAGAGGUUAAUAUAUAUCUGUGGAAAGUCUAGGGUGAGAGAGGUCAGUAUGAAUGUUGUGUAGUUAAUCACUUAAAUUAGCAUUGAAAAGCUUAUCUGCUGUCUUCUUCCUGCCUCUGGGGCAUCCUUUGUUUAGAGUCGUUAACUGCCCUAGGUUGAUUCAUGUCUGGAAACCCUCUGUUUUCAGAGUAUUGCUUUUUAUUUACUGUUCUGAUUUUUGAGUUUUGUAAUACUGGUAGCCAGAUUUUGUUCAUUUUCAUGGUUUCUUCCUUUCUGUUGAAGUUGUCCACAUGCUUGUGGAUUUCAAUGGCUUCUCUGUGUAGUCUGACAUGAUAGUUGUUAGAAUGGUCCAGCAUUUUUGUGUUCUCAAAUAGUAUUCUGUGUCCAGGCUGGUUCAUCAAA